rnacentral:tmRNA from 1 species
GUUAAGGUUUCGACGGGGUUUCUAAAGUCGAAGAAGCAAGCCGUUGCGACACGUUAAUCGCAAACUUAAAAUUAAACGCUAACAGAAAUUUAGCAAUCGCUGCCUAAUUGCAGCUGCCCUACCUUAGGCACUCACUCCUUUGGAACGGGUAUCGACCAGGUGAGAAACGACAUAUGCAAAGCUUUGAGUAUAUGGGCGUAAUAUGAAGCUACUGAAUGCAUUCGGGUGCUUACCACUGAGUGCAGGAGGGAAUGUUAAUCGAUAAGCUAAGCUUGUAGAAGAGCGGUGGAAGGGGCUUCGGACACGGGUUCGACUCCCGU